rnacentral:rRNA from 1 species
CAUCUUUGGUUCUCCCAACUGGGCACAUAUUGGAGACCCUGGAUUUGAGGAUUGCUGUGGAAGCUUUCCUUGCAUUUUUCUCCAGGGCUAUGUCGUUUUCACAAUCUCUGAAUUAUUGUUAGAAUGUUUGUUGGAAAUAUACAUAUAUACAACUUUCAGCAAUGGAUCUCUUGGCUCUCGCAUCGAUGAAGAACGCAGCGAAAUGCGAUAAGUAAUGUGAAUUGCAGAAUUCAGUGAAUCAUCGAAUCUUUGAACGCAUCUUGCGCUCCUUGGUAUUCCGAGGAGCAUGCCUGUUUGAGUGUCAUCAAGUUCUCAACUGCGCCAAUCUUUUUUGGUGUGGCUUUGGAUAUGGGGGGAUUUGUUUUGCAGGCUUUCUAAAAAUCUGCUCCCCUGAAAUGUAUUAUGGGUAUCUAAGCAGGGACUACUACAGGGGUGAUAAAUCUAUCUAUGCCUUGGGAUAACCGCUACACCGCUUCUAACAAACCUUUGACAAAUUUGACCUCAAAUCAGGUAGAACAACCCGCUGAACUUAACCUUAUCA